GACGAACGCUGGCGGCGUGCUUAACACAUGCAAGUCGAACGGAAAGGCCCUGCUUUUGUGGGGUGCUCGAGUGGCGAACGGGUGAGUAACACGUGAGUAACCUGCCCUUGACUUUGGGAUAACUUCAGGAAACUGGGGCUAAUACCGGAUAGGAGCUCCUGCUGCAUGGUGGGGGUUGGAAAGUUUCGGCGGUUGGGGAUGGACUCGCGGCUUAUCAGCUUGUUGGUGGGGUAGUGGCUUACCAAGGCUUUGACGGGUAGCCGGCCUGAGAGGGUGACCGGCCACAUUGGGAUUGGGAUGAGGCCCAGACUCCAACGGGAGGCAGCAGUGGGGAAUAUUGCACAAGGGGCUGAAGCCUAAUGCAGCAACGCCGCGUGCGGGAUGACGGCCUUCGGUUUGUAAUCCGCUUUCGCCUGUGACGAAGCGUGAGUGACGGUAAUGGGUAAAGAAGCACCGGCUAACUACGUG
rnacentral:rRNA from 1 species